UGGGGAAUAUUGCACAAUGGGCGCAAGCCUGAUGCAGCUAUGCCGCGUGUAUGAAGAAGGCCUUCGGGUUGUAAAGUACUUUCAGCGGGGAGGAAGGCGAUGUGGUUAAUAACUGCGUCGAUUGACGUUACCCGCAGAAGAAGCACCGGCUAACUCCGUG
rnacentral:rRNA from 1 species